rnacentral:rRNA from 1 species
UACGUAGGGUGCGAGCGUUAAUCGGAAUUACUGGGCGUAAAGCGUGCGCAGGCGGUUGGCAAAGUCAGCUGUGAAAGCCCCGGGCUUAACCUGGGAAUGGCGGUUGAAACUAGUCGACUCGAAUCUGGCAGAGGGGGGUGGAAUUCCACGUGUAGCAGUGAAAUGCGUAGAGAUCGGGAGGAACACCCGUGGCGAAGGCGGCCGACUGGGCCGACUCUGACGCUGAGGCGCGAAGGCGUGGGGAGCGAACGGG